rnacentral:rRNA from 1 species
CCUAGGGAGGCAGCAGUGGGGAAUUUUGGACAAUGGGCGCAAGCCUGAUCCAGCAAUGCCGCGUGAGUGAAGAAGGCCUUCGGGUUGUAAAGCUCUUUUGUCAGGGAAGAAACGGUGGGAGCUAAUAUCUCCUACUAAUGACGGUACCUGAAGAAUAAGCACCGGCUAACUACGUGCCAGCAGCCGCGGUAAUACGUAGGGUGCAAGCGUUAAUCGGAAUUACUGGGCGUAAAGCGUGCGCAGGCGGUUUUGUAAGUCUGUCGUGAAAGCCCCGGGCUCAACCUGGGAAUUGCGAUGGAGACUGCAAGGCUUGAAUCUGGCAGAGGGGGGUGGAAUUCCACGUGUAGCAGUGAAAUGCGUAGAGAUGUGGAGGAACACCGAUGGCGAAGGCAGCCCCCUGGGUCAAGAUUGACGCUCAUGCACGAAAGCGUGGGGAGCAAACAGGAUUAGAUACCCUGGUAGUCCACGCCCUAAACGAUGUCUACUAGUUGUCGGGUUUUAAUUAACUUGGUAACGCAGCUAACGCGUGAAGUAGACCGCCUGGGGAGUACGGUCGCAAGAUUAAAACGUCAAAAUGAAAUUGACGG